rnacentral:rRNA from 1 species
CAGCCGCCACGGGAAUACGUAGGUGGCAAGCGUUGUCCGGAAUUAUUGGGCGUAAAGGGCUCGCAGGCGGUUUCUUAAGUCUGAUGUGAAAGCCCCCGGCUCAACCGGGGAGGGUCAUUGGAAACUGGGAAACUUGAGUGCAGAAGAGGAGAGUGGAAUUCCACGUGUAGCGGUGAAAUGCGUAGAGGUGUGGAGGAACACCAGUGGCGAAGGCGACUCUCUGGUCUGUAACUGACGCUGAGGAGCGAAAGCGUGGGGAGCGAACAGGAUUAGAUACCCGAGUAGUCCCUGUCUCUUAUAC